rnacentral:rRNA from 1 species
AACGAACGCUGGCGGCAGGCUUAACACAUGCAAGUCGAGCGCCCCGCAAGGGGAGCGGCAGACGGGUGAGUAACGCGUGGGAAUCUACCCAUCUCUACGGAAUAACGCAUGGAAAUGUGUGCUAAUACCGUAUACGUCCUUCGGGAGCAAGAUUUAUCGGAGAUGGAUGAGCCCGCGUUGGUUGAGCUAGUUGGUGGGGUAAAGGCCUACCAAGGCGACGAUCCAUAGCUGGUCUGAGAGGUUGAUCAGCCACACUGGGACUGGGACACGGCCCAGACUCCUACGGGAGGCAGCAGUGGGGAAUAUUGGACAAUGGGCGCAAGCCUGAUCCAGCCAUGCCGCGUGAGUGAUGAAGGCCCUAGGGUUGUAAAGCUCUUUCACCGGUGAAGAUAAUGACGGUAACCGGAGAAGAAGCCCCGGCUAACUUCGUGCCAGCCGCCGCAGUAAUAC